UCAAGAUCUUGAUAAGAAGAAUCAGGUGCCUUAGUGCUGGACUAAAACAACAACCUGCACUUUUCAGAUAAGAUUGGACAUCACUGGCAUAGGAUAACAUAACAGAUUGACACUACUUGUUUUCUAUUCCAUAAAACAGUGAUAGCCAACCGUGUUCCAGGAGCUCUAUCCUCCUGUAGGUAUUAACUCUAACGCUAACAAGGCACACCUCAGUCAACAGCUACAGAUCUUUUUGAGUUGCUAAUUAAUAGAGUCAGCAACUUAUGGCUGAAUUAUGGCUGAAAAGAAAACCAACAGGAUGGUAGAUCUCCAGGAACGGGGUUGGUUACCACUGCCAUACAAUAGUUUAUUUGUAAAUUUAAACAAAGCUAAGACCGGUUUUAUUCUCCUCUAGUGGCAAUGAGGAGGAAUAUAUCUAAACAGGGAUACCUGGGAAUGGCACACGUUUAAACAAAGAACCCGGACUGUUCCAAUGCUAACUGUGGCCAGCAGCCCAAAUGGUUCACAGUUGGCUGUCUUCAUGGCAUCUCACCAUACACCAGCAACCCCUGCUGAUCAAUUGGGUGCCCACAACUUUGCCUGCUGAGCUACGUGACCUGUAUGCCUAAAACUUGUCUUGGAAAAAAGGAAACAUGAUGCAAUAAUAACUUUAGCUAUCGGCCCAUCAAUAUCCCAGAGGUGCCUGUGAGUGUAGUUUUAAGUUAGUUUUCUUGCUCUCUAUUUUGACAGUUGCACAUCACCAGUUGCCCAUACAACUUUCUACCAUAAGUUAAAAAUGGUUAAAUUUAACAUUAAAAAAAUAUAUAUAUUUCCCAAAUCUAUGUAUAGUCAUUACAUAUCAAGUCUGGCCAGAGACUCCUUACAGUACGUUAAAGGAUCCCCAGGGGUCUGUGCACCCCUGUUGAAAACCCAGGCCUUAUAUGGUCAUCUUCAAAAAUAGAGAAGGUUCUCGGAGGAAAGGAGUGGCAAUCCCUCCUUUCCUCAAUCCCUCAAUGCAAAAACAUCCAUUCUGCAUUUCCAUCAGGGAUGCACAUCAGCAUGUCCGUCAUUUGCUGGUGCUCUGUCUGCAACUAGUUAUUAACUCGCACUAGUCCACACUUUACACACUUUAGUACAUUAUCACAUUACGUUUUGGGUUUGUUCCAUUCUGACAAGGCAU